GAUGAACGCUGGCGGCGUGCCUAAUACAUGCAAGUCGAGCGAAUGACGAGGAGCUUGCUCCUCUGAUUUAGCGGCGGACGGGUGAGUAACACGUGGGUAACCUGCCUGUAAGACGGGGAUAACUCCGGGAAACCGGAGCUAAUACCGGAUGAUAACGAGAAGCGCCUGCUUCUUUUUUGAAAGUCGGUUUCGGCUGACGCUUACAGAUGGGCCCGCGGCGCAUUAGCUAGUUGGUGAGGUAACGGCUCACCAAGGCGACGAUGCGUAGCCGACCUGAGAGGGUGAUCGGCCACACUGGGACUGAGACACGGCCCAGACUCCUACGGGAGGCGGCAGUAGGGAAUCUUCGGCAAUGGACGAAAGUCUGACCGAGCAACGCCGCGUGAGCGAUGAAGGCCUUCGGGUCGUAAAGCUCUGUUGUCAGAGAAGAACAAGUACCGGAGUAACUGCCGGUACCUUGACGGUACCUGACCAGAAAGCCACGGCUAACUACGUGCCAGCAGCCGCAGUAAUAC
rnacentral:rRNA from 1 species